CAAAGGCAGUUUUAACCCUAAACCUCAGAGUCAGAAGGGCACCUGUUUUAGAUUCAACAAAGCAGCCCCAAAUGCCUGGAAGGCAUGGUAUCUUUGUGGUCCCCCUUGCCAGGCAAGUACAAACCCUUGUGAGCUACAAACCCUUGUGAACUACAAACCUCUGGCUAUGAGUUCUUUCUUCUAUGUUUCCUUGGGAUGAAACUGUCAACUAUGGAGAAAAAGCGAAAGAAUUUGAUAUUAAGAAACAAAACUCAUUCUAUACAACAGAGAAGGGCUUCAGAAAUGGGACCUUAUUUCAGAAUACAAGAGUGGAUAUCAAUUUUAUCAGAGGUUUCAUCAGUGAAGUAGAACGCCAGUAUUUGACCAUUACUGUUUUGAAAAUCAGUGACUCAUGUAGUUUUGUAAAUAAAAAUGUGCAACUCAAA